GUAGUAAAAUCCAUUAUAUUGGUAUAACGAGUAGAGAUACCUAUGUCAUUUAUUGUGGUCAUAAUUGAAUUCCUAGGAUAAAGAAAUCGUUUAACUAAGCUAAAUUUGCAUAGAGAUAUGGAAUUUAAUUGGUUGAAUGACUCAAUGAGAACUCGAGAGGGGUAAAUUGAAUACAAUAAGAGAAUUCGACCAAAUACUACAUUAGAAUUGAGUCUUAAUUUGAGAUGUAAAGGUGAUCAAUGAGUGAAAUUAUUCUGCCCUAACGUCUUUUAGUUAUUUGAUUUUACAAAAAAAAAAAAAAAUUGAGUGAGCAUUCAUUUAUUUUCUAGAAUUUAGAUUAAAAUCCAAAUCAUUCAACUCAUACAACUAAUAAUCUGUUUUCAUCAAAUAGUAGUUAAAAAAAAUUUGAAUUAAGUGCUAAAAAAUAGUUCUUGUGGGAACGAUAAUUCGGACUCAAAAGGUCCACUUUACUACUUAUUACGAUUCGUCCACUUGCGGGAUAAAAUCGACAACAGUGUUGAUAAGCUGUUAUUUUUUUAAGAUCUGCAAUGGGAUGGGAGUCUUGAUAUCGUUAUUAUACGUUGCCACUUUGGGCGAGUCAGCAAGCAGAUUAGCACAAUUUUGGCCUGUAAAUUUGAGCACUGUGUCGUGUACUUGGUGGUGGAAAUAGAGGGUGGGUGGGGUUUGACCUUAAAUUUCCGACCUUGAAUUUCCUGUAUGUGAUUUUUGUCAAUAUUACGAUGGAAUGAAACUUGAGUUUAUGAGAACUUAUUUGUUCUAGUGAUACCAUCUUGCAAAUGCCUGCCCCAUAUGUGAAAUAUAUUAACCUUGGUGUAUUUUUUCCUGCUGCUUAUAUCUUAUUCCAUCCAUCCUUGUUGGGUAGCUCUUAUGUAACACUUGUAGAGCUUGAUUAGGAUUGUUAAUAUCUUCGGGUGCUUGUUUGCAUUCUUUUCUUUCAUGACAGAUUUUUCUCAAUUGUGCAGGCUGUUCCAUUCCAGCCUGUGAAGAUUAUUGGUUUCCAUUUAGUUGGUAUUACUUUAUGAGGUCAAUUAAGCUUAUUUUGUCAGUUGAAUUGUUUUUCUUCCAAGGGAUGACCCGUCGAGUUUUUUAUGUAAGAGUGCAAGAGGGCUUUAGUUGCUUUAAAAUAGAGCAAUAUAUUUUCAUUGAUGUGUUGAGACUUGAGAAGCUUUUAAAUUCUACAAUGGGAUGGAAGGGGGUAUUUGUCUAUUUACUAAAUCUUGCGAGUUUGGGUGAAUCAACUAGCAGAUCAGCACAAUUUCGGCCCAUCAGUUUAAGCACUGCGUCCUCAUCACUCUACAGCUAGGCAGUCUGCAUUGCAGCCAUAUUUGUUGUGGUGGCUUUUGUUCUUUCCAUGUACCUUAACUUUGUGCAUUUAGCUGCUUACAAUCAGCCUGAGAAACUCUUAGUUGAGCUCAUUCUAAUGGUUCCUGUUUAUGCACUGGGAUCGGUAAUGUUAACUGAAUUUUGUCUUUAUUCGCCAUUUGUUUUUGACAUUAGAGCAUUAUCACAAUUCAUGUUAUGAGCCACUUAGGUAAGAUCAUUCUGAUGCACUUGCAUAAAUAGAGAAAUAAUUUGGGAAUUUCAUUUUUUUUAAUCAUUUUUCCUGAUUUAGUGAUCAUACUUGGUAGUGGAAGUUUUAUCAAUUUUUUGUUUAUAUGACAAACUUCUAUGGAAAGAACAAAAACCAUCAUUUUUCUCGAUCAAUUGAGGAACUACUUUUGUUUAAUUGUUGCGGUAAUUUUUUACCCGUUUGAGCAGAAAAAACUUGGCCGAAGACUGGAUAGCAGCAAGUUAUACGUGGCCUUCAUCACCAGAGGCCUUAUUUAAAAAAUGUGGGGUACUUAAAUUACUAGAACUUGUUCCAUAAUAAUUGUCGUCAUCUGGUUUCCUGUUAACAAACUAUAAUAGAUAAUACUAUUUUCUUAUGGAGAAAUUUCAAACUACUACAGAGAUGAGUUAACAACGUUUGGGAGUAAUUUAUUGUGUGCUUAAGAGGUUCUGGUUUUUCUAUUUGAUCUCUCUCUUUUCUCCCUCCCCCUGCUCCCACCAAGGACCUUUUUGAUUUCUUAUUUCUGUUAUUUUGUUUCGUGAACUGUUCUUAUCUUUGUUACAUUCAAAUGCAGCUUUCAACUAUGAAAUUAUAUAGGAUUGUUAUGAAGCUUUUGCCCUGUAUUGCUUUGAGAGAUCUCAUAGCCUGCUUAGGUAUGUCUACAUUUUCUGGGUUCUCUUUUAUAUUGCCAUUGUGUUUAGCCCUCUGUAUUAUUCAUGUAUUGAAUAAUGAUGAUUAUUCAAGAAACAGAGUAGUGUUUUUAUUUAAUUUCAUUCCUAACUAUGGAUUUCUUUUAGCCUUCUUUAACUACGAUAAACUUUAGUGUGUUGAACCAUUGAUGCUUUGAGAAAAAUAGUAUUUUUUUUAUAAGAUUUAUUGAUAUCAAGGUAAAAAUAUAAUUAGAAUCACUAAUAUAUUUUUUUUCAUCUUUAUCUUAUUUUCUUUGCUAGCUUUAGAUACUUUGCAAUAAUGAACAUCUCUCUUCUGUUUGAAUCUUAGUCUGCAGAUGAUGCCUGCAGAAUCUAUCAUGAUUAAAUUAAGUGUUUUAUGACCUUAUCAUAUCUUUCCCACCCUCGAAGGACAGGAUUUUCAUGUAGUAAUGACAAUGGACUAACUUGUGAGUCGAUGAAAGCCCAAUUAAUGCAGUGGUGGUAGGUUUAGGAAUGACUUAGGUUGUCAUAUAUCGGACUGAAGCAACAGAGUGGUCUUGCUGAGUGUUAGGUAGUUAUAGAAUUUCAGGAUAAGUUGAAAUCAAAUGUAAGUUUCUGAGAAGAAAGAUGUUAAAAGGUGAUUAAUGUAUCGCGCUUGGAGGUGGAAAGGAAAUUACAGGUCACUUUAUGGAAAGUCAAAGCUUGUUCACUUCUAGUAGUGUACCUCUUCUGGAUGAAGCAUAUGCUUAUGGAGUUGUUGAACAUCCUUUUCCGUUAAUUUACUUUCUCAGGUAUUGGCAGCUUGGCUCUGACUUUUAUCAGUUCGUAAAAAUUGGCAUUGUUCAAUAUGUACGAACACCAUCUUUGAGACUUUUUUAUUUUAUUAUUGUUAUAUAUUGGCAUUAAGUGAAAGUUCUCAUUUUCGCAGAUAAUAUUAAAGAUGAUAUGUGCUUUACUUGCGAUGAUUUUUGAAUCUCUUGGAGUUUAUGAGGAAGAAAAGUUUGAGUGGGGACCCUUUUCCAUCUAGUCAUAUUCUAAAGCUUUACAGUUCCUACUGUGUAACUGUGAACUCUUGAAUUAUAUUUUACGGUUACUGUUCAAUGCAAUUUAGGGAUGUUAUUUAGUUACAUCUAGCGAAGAGAAUAAACAUUUUUCCAUUUUCAUCUGAAAGUUUUUCGAUGUUUUGCAGUUAUCCAUAUUUGGCAGUUUUUGAGUUUUAGCGGACCUCGGCCUUAUACUACCUUGUCCAGUCUUAUUCUGUCACCAAGAUUAAAUUGGCACGAUUUAAACCUUGGGCCAAGUUUUUGACAUUCAAGUCGAUUGUUUUCCAGACAUGGUGGCAAGGUGCUGCUGUUGCCUUUCUUCUCAUUUGGAGCCCUUAAGGGGAUCAUUGGUGCAGGUUCUGAAAAUCCGACAUGGUGGUAAGGUGUUGCUGUUGCCUUUCUUCUCAUUUGGAGCCCUUUAGGGAUCAUUGGUGCAGGGUCUGAAAAUACGUAUACAAGACUAUAGCAUCUGUAUCGAGGUGCGUUGGUUUGUGUUGAUCUUUCAAUCUUUUCCACUAGGUAAUUUAGUAUUCUUAUGCAUGAAGAUGAUUAAUUCGGUCUUUGUUGCCAGACUUUAUUAUGGAUUAGUACAUUGUUAUACCAGUUUUAGUUUGUCUGUUUA